GAACCAACUGGUGAACCAUCUCCUAAAAGACCAAGAGGAAGACCCAAAGGAAGCAAAAACAAGAGUCCCUCUAAAGCAGCUCAGAAGAAAGCAGAAGCCACUGGUGAAAAGCGACCCAGAGGCCGGCCCAGAAAAUGGCCUCAACAAGUGGUUCAGAAGAAGCCUGCUCAGGAAGAGACUGAAGAAACGUCCUCACAAGAGUCUGCAGAGGAAGACUAGGAGACCGCACCAUGCAAUUUCUACCUCAUCAGCAGUUGGGUCUUUUGAAGGGAGAAGACACUGCCUUGACCGCUGAUUUUCUA